AGUGAACGCUGGCGGUAGGCCUAACACAUGCAAGUCGAACGGCAGCACAGUAAGAGCUUGCUCUUACGGGUGGCGAGUGGCGGACGGGUGAGGAAUACAUCGGAUUCUACUUUUUCGUGGGGGAUAACGUAGGGAAACUUACGCUAAUACCGCAUACGUCCUACGGGUGAAAGCAGGGGAUCUUCGGACCUUGCGCGAGUGAAUAAGCCGAUGUCGGAUUAGCUCGUUGGCGGGGUAAAGGCCCACCAAGGCGACGAUGCGUAGCUGGUCUGAGAGGAUGAUUCGCCAGACUGGAAGUGAGACAGGGUCCCGACUCUGACAGGGAGACGCAGUCGGGAAUAUUAGACGAUGGGCGAGAGGCUGAUACAGCAAUACCGGGUGAGUGCAGAAGGACCUCUGGUUGUAAAGCCAUGUUGUUGGGAAAGAAAAGAAGCUGUUUAAUCCGCCGCUGUACUGACGGUACCCAAAGAAUAAGCACCGGCUAACUUCGUG
rnacentral:rRNA from 1 species